rnacentral:rRNA from 1 species
GAUGAACGCUAGCAGCAGGCUUAACACAUGCAAGUCGAGGGGCAGCACGGACUUCGGUCUGGUGGCGACCGGCAAACGGGUGCGGAACACGUACACAAUCUACCUUUAUCUGGGGUAUAGCCCGAAGAAAUUCGGAUUAAUCCCCCAUAAUAUAUUAGAGUGGCAUCACUUCGAUAUUAAAACUCCGGUGGAUAAAGAUGAGUGUGCGUCCCAUUAGCUAGUUGGUAGGGUAACGGCCUACCAAGGCAACGAUGGGUAGCUGGUGUGAGAGCACGACCAGCCACACGGGCACUGAGACACGGGCCCGACUCCUACGGGAGGCAGCAGUGAGGAAUAUUGGUCAAUGGACGCAAGUCUGAACCAGCCAUGCCGCGUGAAGGAUGAAGGCCUUCUGGGUUGUAAACUUCUUUUAUUGGGGAAGAAAAUUACGGUUUCUACUGUAACCGACGGUACCCAAGGAAUAAGCACCGGCUAACUCCGUGCCAGCCGCCGCUGUAA